rnacentral:rRNA from 1 species
UAGCAUAUCAAUAAGCGGAGGAAAAGAAAACAACAGGGAUUGCCCUAGUAACGGCGAGUGAAGCGGCAACAGCUCAAAUUUGAAAUCUGGCUUCGGCCCGAGUUGUAAUUUGUAGAGGAUGUUUCUGGGGCGCUGCCUUCCUAGUUCCCUGGAACGGGGCGCCCCAGAGGGGGAGAGCCCCGUCUGGUUGGAUGCUAAACCUGUGUUAAACUCCUUCUACGAGACGAGUAGUUUGGGAAUGCUGCUCUCAAUGGGAGGUGAAUCUCUUCUCAAGCUAAAUACUGGCCAGAGACCGAUAGCGCACAAGUAGAGUGAUCGAAAGAUAAAAAGCGCCUUGAAAAAGGGGUUAAACAGUACGUGAAAUUGUUGAAAGGGAAGCGUUUAUGACCAGACUUGUGUCGUGUGGCUCAUCCGAGGUUCUCCCCGGUGCACUCCACACGGCUCAGGCCAACAUCGGUUCUUGUUGGAGGAUAAGAACAGUAGGAACGUAGCUCUCCUUCGGGGGAGUGUUAUAGCCUAUUGUACGAUACUCUGACGGGGACCGAGGACCGCGCUUCGGCUAGGAUGUUGGCGUAAUGGUCAUUAGCGACCCGUCUUGAAACACGGACCAAGGAGUCGUCCAUUAGAGCGAGCGUUUGGGUGUAAAACCCGCACGCGUAAUGAAAGUGAAAUUAGGUGAGAGCUUCGGCGCAUCAUCGACCGAUCCUGAAGUUUACGGAUGGAUUUGAGUAAGAGUUUUAACGGACGGACCCGAAAGACAGUGAACUAUGCUUGAAUAGGGUGAAGCCAGAGGAAACUCUGGUGGAGGCUCGCAGCGGUUCUGACGUGCAAAUCGAUCGUCAAAUUUGAGCAUGGGGGGCGAAAGACUAAUCGAACUUACUAG